AGUGAACGCUGGCGGUAGGCCUAACACAUGCAAGUCGAACGGCAGCACAGUAAGAGCUUGCUCUUACGGGUGGCGAGUGGCGGACGGGUGAGGAAUAUAUCGGAAUCUACUUUUUCGUGGGGGAUAACGUAGGGAAACUUACGCUAAUACCGCAUACGACCUACGGGUGAAAGCAGGGGAUCUUCGGACCUUGCGCGAUUGAACUAGCCGAUGUCGGAUUGGCUAGUUGGCGGGGUAAAGGCCCACCAUGGCGACGAUCCGUAGCUGGUCUGAGAGGAGGGUCGGCCGCACGAGAACGGGGACACGGUCCAGACUCCUGAGAGAGGCAGCAGAGGGGAAUAUUGGACAGUGGGCGCAAGCCUGGUCCAACCAUCCCGCGUGGGAGAAGGAGGCCUUCGGGUUGUAAUGCCGUUUUGUUGGGAAAGAAAAGCAGCAGGUUAAUACCACGCGGUUGUGACGGUACCCGAUGAAGAAGCACCGGCUAACUUCGUG
rnacentral:rRNA from 1 species